GCGCUAACCACUGCGCUGCCGUCGUCCGACACUAGUUAGUGUUAUUUGUCGUUGAUAGUUAAUCGUUAAUUGUUGAUCGUAAAUUGUUGACUGUUGAUUGUUAGUAGUUUAAUAAACUUUUCUGUUGAACAUCAAGAGCAUUUCUUGUGGGCACCCUCACCAACAUACCACUACAUAUAAUUACUUAAAAAUUCGCUAACAUCUGUCACAAAAUUAGGGACACUUUAGUACCAGCUCUCUUACAAAUGCAAACUUGAAAAACCUGAAGAAGGGGAGUCACGAUCGAUUAAAAGACCAGAGUGCUCGUGUCGUAUCAAAGCCCAAGACGCACGAACAGACGCCAUUCAAGAGCAGGCCAUAAAUUUCCUGCGGAGUGAAACACUGUUUUUUUACAAUCACUCGUUUGGCCUGGAUCGACGAAUGCCCCGUUUCAUACGAGCCUCGAAUUCCUGCCGACCUUUUUAUCGGUCUCGUUUAAAUAGCUAGUAAUACGUAGACAAUUUGUCGGCCAGAGAGAACAAGGAUGGUAUCUGAUUCAGACACUGCAGCUUUCUAAUUGACUUCAAGUUAAAUUUAUAAUAAUCCCAAACUAAAUCGAGCAGUUAACAACGUCUGACCUAGUGUUAACCAAUUUUUCCUGCGGUUUUCGAAAGUGUAAAAUAGUUGAAUAAUAAAACGAUCAAUUCCUGACAUUAGAUUGCAAUUGGUCAAAUACAGGUCAGGAAAUUUUAUGUAUAAAAUAUUCUGAAAUUUCAUUAGCAUCGUAAUAACGUGCAAUUGGCAUGACGAUGUUGGUAAGAAAUUAAUCUUGCAAACAUACAUUUAGAAAGAGAAAUAGUGUACAACAUGAAUAAUGGCCUUAAACGUCUAAUUAGCCAAUACCACCUAUACAAUUAAUAAAUAUAAUGAAUAAUUGACUGUUCAAAUACUUUGCUAAUUGUUACGCGGUAUAGCUACAUUUGCAAAAAUACAUAAUGUAAUUCCUCUAUACAGUCUCAAACUCGUUUCAACGUAAUCACAAUAACCAAAUCUCACAACAGUUCUAAUGAAAUUUCAAAAUGUAUAACAUGCAUAAUGUAUUUAUAAAAUAUGUGUGCAAGUGUUGGAAUAUGUUUGUAAGUCUGUAUAUAGAAACUUGUACUCAAUGAGCCGUAUGAAGAUGUUUGAAAGCAAUCGGUAGAAAAAGACAUCAGGAGGUU
rnacentral:misc_RNA from 1 species